UACUUGUUCAUUUUCAUAGCCUUUAUUCAAACAUCACCACCACAAUUUCUCAGCUGUCAUUUUCGGUCUACUUGAUGUCUAUGUUCUCUGUUCAUCCUUCUCUUCUCUACUUGUCCUCCAUUUCUCCUUCAUUUUAUCUAAGUUAGUCUCAUACUAAGUAUCUUAGAUAUAAAAAGCACUAAAAGUAAUAAAUAUGGUAUUUAUAAUAUGUCUGUAGUAAUUUGGCUUAUUAUUGCCUAUCUUCUAGCUUUUUGUUAUUAUUGUUUGCUGUAGUUAUAGAAUAACUAUUGAGGUGGUAAGUAAAUUCUGCUGUGGGCUCUAUACCUUACGUAGUGGUAUCUGAAUUUGAUUUGAUCUUCUGACAUCCAUUGCAAUAAUGUUGCUGAAGAAGUGAGUUUUUCCUCCAAACAGUUUUAAAAGCUUUUUUACAGUAUGAUUCUACUGACUAUCAUGAAUUAUUUUCCUUUGUUUUUCUUGUGAAAACUGUCUUAGAAAAUUUACAUCUGUUAUAGGAACAGCAGCAAUACUGGUACCAGCAGCACCUGCUUAGCCUGCAGCAAAGGGCAAAAGCCCAUGCUCAGGGACAGCAGCAGAUGAAAAGUCCAGUAUUGAAGGAUGCAUCUGAGCAGAGAGCAAAGUCUGAAGAAGGGAAAAUGGGUGCUUCAAAUCAGCAGUCUGAACCUCCUCCACUUAAUGAAUCCUUGCCUCCAGCUUCCAAAGAAGAUGAGUCUUCUCUUACAUCCACUGAAACUCAGCUCAAUAUUGAACCUCCUGAUGACCCUGAGGAAGAUUUGAGAUUGCAGCAGUUGCAAGCAGCAGCAGCUCAGUGGCAGCAGCACCCCCAUCACCGGGUUGGAUUUCAGUAUCAGAGAAUAAUGCAGAAGCAUGCUCAGCUGCAGCAGAUAGUACAGCAGUAUCAACAGGUCAUGCAACAGCCUCCACACUUAGAGGUGAGACACUAAGGACAUAUCACCCGGGAUAUACUUCCUGGGUGACCUAGCACUCAUGGUCUGCUGAAAAAUAAAUAGUUGAAUA
rnacentral:lncRNA from 1 species